CGCUUGACUGCGAGACAGACACGUCGAGCAGGUACGAAAGUAGGUCUUAGUGAUCCGGUGGUUCUGUAUGGAAGGGCCAUCGCUCAACGGAUAAAAGGUACUCCGGGGAUAACAGGCUGAUACCGCCCAAGAGUUCAUAUCGACGGCGGUGUUUGGCACCUCGAUGUCGGCUCAUCACAUCCUGGGGCUGAAGCCGGUCCCAAGGGUAUGGCUGUUCGCCAUUUAAAGUGGUACGCGAGCUGGGUUUAGAACGUCGUGAGACAGUUCGGUCCCUAUCUGCCGUGGACGUUUGAGAUUUGAGAGGGGCUGCUCCUAGUACGAGAGGACCGGAGUGGACGAACCUCUGGUGUUCCGGUUGUCACGCCAGUGGCAUUGCCGGGUAGCUAUGUUCGGAAGAGAUAACCGCU
rnacentral:rRNA from 1 species